AGAAGGGCAGUCUCCAUUGUCUCCUCUCACUUUCCUGAGUUCCCAGUACCCAGAGAAAAUGCUGAAGACAGGCUGCAGGAAGGAAAGAACUGGAUCAACUUUUAUUUGGUUGUUAAAGAGGUAAUACAUGCCUUAAUUCAUUCAAGAGAUACAAAGGAGUACCAGUAAAGAGUGUCCUUCCCACGCCAUACCACACCCUUCCACAACCUUCCACAACCUUCCGGU
rnacentral:lncRNA from 1 species